rnacentral:lncRNA from 1 species
AAGAGAGAGAUCAAGGUGAUCAAAUGAAGUCAAAUUCCUCUCAAGUCUUUUAGAAGACUAUCCUUGAGCUUAUCAUUCUUCUAAGCAUCAAUGGAGUCAAGGUCAAAGCAAAAGUUGGCUCAAAAGAUCAAAAGGAUAGGAAACUAGGUUUUACAAACCACACAAACUUAUAUGCUUAAGGUAAAAGCCAAAUGAUCAACUUUAAAAUUUCCAACAAUUGAAAAUAAGUUGACAUACCAAUUAAGUAUCCAAAUAAUCAUAACAUACCCAAAAAUAAGCC